ensembl:rRNA 5S_rRNA 5S ribosomal RNA
GUCUACAGCUAUAUCACCCUAAAUGUGCCUGAUCUCGUCUAAUCUCAGAAGCUAAGAAGGGUCGGGCCUGGUUAGUACUUGGAUGGGAGAAAAAUAGAACACAGAACAUU